rnacentral:lncRNA from 1 species
UCCAAAUCCAAACUUCCCUGAAAUAAUCCUGAAAUCUCCUUGUACAAUUGGUUUCUUCUAGUCAGAAUCUCGAGGAGGAACCCAUUGCAUUUAAUUAUAUUUUAAAAUUAGCUGUAUGUAAACAUGUUAUUAAUCUUUAACCUGCAUGCAGAAAAGUAAUCACAUCAUAGUUUAUAGCUUGAAUAGUACACACCCAGAGAACCGGCUGGAGCCAGGGAGUCAGAGCCUGGCAGCACCCCAAAGUCUCCAUCAUGCCCCACCCCAGUCACCACCCCCACCAAAGGGCUGUGUCCCAGACCCGUGUCCCCUCACGGUGCCAGUCUGCAGCCUGUCCCCCGCCCCCAGUGCUGAGCUAUAAAUACCUCUCCACCCACGACAUCUGCCUCCCACACACCGAGCGUGGCCUCCGGGGGAGAAGGACCCCAUUUCCCCUCUCAAGUUGCCGCUCUGGGGCUGAGCCAACAUUCAAACUCGGGUGAGUCCAGCAGGUCCUUUGCCCCAGGCCUUCGGCUGUCUCCUCCUUGGGGCUUAGUCCUUGGCCACCUCUGAGGUGCUGGGGACAUUCAAACAAGGCGCAUGCAUUCAUUUUGUUAGGUUUCUAAAGCAAACGGCCACAGAUGUAGCCACUUGAAACAGUGGACGUUUGUUCUCUCACCAGCAAAAAAAUCAAGGUGUGGUCCAAGUUGGUUCCCGGAGGCGCCGACAGGGUUUCGGGAUCCACAGGGAAGCGGGGACACCUCUGAGCUGGACUUACGAAAGCCCCAGUCUUCACAAGCAGAGACCCACAUGUCCUCCCUCGGGAUGAGCAUACGUGAAUGUGAAUGUCCACAUUCUUUCUUCCUUUAUUUUUCUAGGGCUGCGCCCACGGC